rnacentral:rRNA from 1 species
AAUUAAUUUUUUUUUUGAUAAAAUUUAAAUAUUAAAAAUAAUUAUAAUAUAAAAAGUUUAAGUAUUUUAUAAAGAAAAAAUAAUUUUAAUAAUAGUUUAUUAGUAUUGUGAAAUAAAAUUGAAAUAUAAUGAAAAAUUUUUAUUGUAAAAGAAAAUUUUAUUUAUUGUAUCUUGUGUAUCAGAGUAUAUUAAAUAAAAAAUAUUUAUAUAUUUUUCUCGAUUUUAAAAGAUUUAAUAAAUUAUAAAUGUUAAUGUGAUAAAAUUAUAUUUAAUAAUUUAUUAGAAAUGAAAUGUUAUUCGUUUUUAAAGGUAUCUAGUUUUUUAAGAAAUAAAUUUAAUUUAGUAUUUAAAAUUUAUUUAUUUAUUUUAAUAAUUAAAUAAUUUUUAAAUAUAAAUAUUUUAUGGGAUAAGCUAUAAAAUAAAUUUUUAUAAAUAAUGAAUAAUAUUUAAAAUUUUAUAUGUUUAAAAGUAUCAAUUUUUAUUAAGUUUGUUAUAAAUUAAUUUUAUUUAUAAAUUAUUUAUUAUAUUUUAAGUUUUUAUUAAAAUAUUUAUUUUAAUAUUAAAAAUAAAGAAAUAAUGAUAUAAUUAGUAUAUUAAUUUUGUAAUAAUAAAUUUAUAAAUGAAAAGUUUAUGUAAAGAAUUCGGCAAAAAUAAUGUUCGCCUGUUUAACAAAAACAUGUCUUUUAGAAAUUAAUUUAAAGUCUGACCUGCCCACUGAUUUUUUAAAUGGCCGCAGUAUAUUAACUGUGCAAAGGUAGCAUAAUCAUUAGUCUUUUAAUUGAAGGCUGGAAUGAAUGGUUGGACGAAAUAUUAACUGUUUCAUUUAAAUUUGUAAUAAAAUUUUAUUUUUUAGUUAAAAAGCUAAAAUAUAAUUAAAAGACGAGAAGACCCUAUGAAUCUUUAUAUAAGUUAUAUUUUAAUUUUAUAGAUGAUUUUAAUUAUAAUAUGUUUUUAUAUUUUAUUGGGGUGAUAUUAAAAUUUAAAAAACUUUUAAGUUUUAAAUCAUUAAUUUAUGAAUAAAUGAUCCAUUUUUAAUGAUUAAAAAUUUAAGUUACUCUAGGGAUAACAGCGUAAUUUUUUUGGAGAGUUCAUAUCGAUAAAAAAGAUUGCGACCUCGAUGUUGGAUUAAGAGAUAAUUUUAGGUGUAGCCGUUUAAAUUUAAAGUCUGUUCGACUUUUAAAAUCUUACAUGAUCUGAGUUCAAACCGGCGUGAGCCAGGUUGGUUUCUAUCUUUAAUAAAUUAAUAUAUUUUAGUACGAAAGGAUUGAAUAUAUAAAUAAUUUUAUUUUAAAUUAAAGAAUAUAAAUAAUUAUUUAUAA